rnacentral:lncRNA from 1 species
AGUACAGUUUGCGUGCUUUUACACGCAGCUGGCGUUCGUGCUCACAAGUUAUCGAUCUUCAAAUCAACGAUUAGUUUCGUUAAAUUUGAUCUAAAAUAUUUGACAAAUUUAAAAAUAAUUUUUUAAAACUUUCGAUUGUUGAAAAUAUAAAAUCUCACAAAAUAGUGAUGAUACAAUGCCGAAAUUUUAAAUAACAAAUAUUUAUCUUGCGUUAGACAUAUAAAUAAUUUUUUCAUUAUAGUUUUGGGUGAUUUGAAUAAUUAAUUCUAUAUUGUUAAGCUUGCAAAUCGCUCACAUCGAUAACUAGAUUUAUUGAUUCUGAACUCUUUCGACCAACUAGACAAAUAAUAUAAAAAAUUAUAAAAAAUAUUUUUUUGAUAUUUUAAAAUUGGAAAUCAAUGAUAAAAU